CCUACGGGAGGCUGCAGUGGGGUAUAUUGGACAAUGGGGGGAACCCUGAUCCAGCCAUGCCGCGUGUGUGAAGAAGGCCCUCGGGUUGUAAAGCACUUUCAGUGAGGAAGAACGCCUGGUGGUUAAUACCCAUCAGGAAAGACAUCACUCACAGAAGAAGCACCGGCUAACUCCGUGCCAGCAGCCGCGGUAAUACGGAGGGUGCGAGCGUUAAUCGGAAUUACUGGGCGUAAAGCGCGCGUAGGUGGCUUGAUAAGCCGGUUGUGAAAGCCCCGGGCUCAACCUGGGAACGGCAUCCGGAACUGUCAAGCUAGAGUGCAGGAGAGGAAGGUAGAAUUCCCGGUGUAGCGGUGAAAUGCGUAGAGAUCGGGAGGAAUACCAGUGGCGAAGGCGGCCUUCUGGACUGACACUGACACUGAGGUGCGAAAGCGUGGGUAGCAAACAGGAUUAGAUACCCUGGUAGUC
rnacentral:rRNA from 1 species